rnacentral:rRNA from 1 species
GAUGAACGCUAGCGGCAGGCCUAAUACAUGCAAGUCGAACGGCAGCACGGGUAGCAAUAUCUGGUGGCGAGUGGCGCACGGGUGCGUAACGCGUAUGCAAUCUACCUUUAACUGGUGAAUAGCCCGAAGAAAUUCGGAUUAAUACACCAUAAUAUAUUAGAGUGGCAUCACUUUAAUAUUAAAACUACGGUGGUUAAAGAUGAGCAUGCGUGACAUUAGCUAGUUGGUGAGGUAAUGGCUCACCAAGGCUACGAUGUCUAGGGGAUCUGAGAGGAUUAACCCCCACACUGGUACUGAGACACGGACCAGACUCCUACGGGAGGCAGCAGUAAGGAAUAUUGGACAAUGGUGGCAACACUGAUCCAGCCAUGCCGCGUGAAGGAUGACGGCCCUAUGGGGUUGUAAAACUUCUUUUUGUACGGGAAAAAAACCUCUUUACGUGUAAAGAGCUGAUUGUACUGUAAGAAUAAGGAUCGGCUAACUCCGUGCCAGCAGCCGCGGUAA